rnacentral:rRNA from 1 species
AUUGAACGCUGGCGGCAGGCUUAACACAUGCAAGUCGAGCGGAGCGAGGGUGCUUGCACCUUAGCUUAGCGGCGGACGGGUGAGUAAUGCUUAGGAAUCUGCCUAUUAGUGGGGGACAACGUUCCGAAAGGGACGCUAAUACCGCAUACGCCCUACGGGGGAAAGCAGGGGAUCUUCGGACCUUGCGCUAAUAGAUGAGCCUAAGUCGGAUUAGCUAGUUGGUGGGGUAAAGGCCUACCAAGGCGACGAUCUGUAGCGGGUCUGAGAGGAUGAUCCGCCACACUGGGACUGAGACACGGCCCAGACUCCUACGGGAGGCAGCAGUGGGGAAUAUUGGACAAUGGGCGAAAGCCCGAUCCAGCCAUGCCGCGUGUGUGAAGAAGGCCUUUUGGUUGUAAAGCACUUUAAGCGAGGAGGAGGCUCCCUAGAUUAAUACUCUAGGUGAGUGGACGUUACUCGCAGAAUAAGCACCGGCUAACUCUGUGCCAGCAGCCGCGGUAAUACAGAGGGUGCGAGCGUUAAUCGGAUUUACUGGGCGUAAAGCGUACGUAGGCGGCUUUUUAAGUCGGAUGUGAAAUCCCUGAGCUUAACUUAGGAAUUGCAUUCGAUACUGGGAAGCUAGAGUAUGGGAGAGGAUGGUAGAAUUCCAGGUGUAGCGGUGAAAUGCGUAGAGAUCUGGAGGAAUACCGAUGGCGAAGGCAGCCAUCUGGCCUAAUACUGACGCUGAGGUACGAAAGCAUGGGGAGCAAACAGGAUUAGAUACCCUGGUAGUCCAUGCCGUAAACGAUGUCUACUGGCCGUUGGGGCCUUUGAGGCUUUAGUGGCGCAGCUAACGCGAUAAGUAGACCGCCUGGGGAGUACGGUCGCAAGACUAAAACUCAAAUGAAUUGACGGGGGCCCGCACAAGCGGUGGAGCAUGUGGUUUAAUUCGAUGCAACGCGAAGAACCUUACCUGGUCUUGACAUACAGAGAACUUUCCAGAGAUGGAUUGGUGCCUUCGGGAACUCUGAUACAGGUGCUGCAUGGCCGUCGUCAGCUCGUGUCGUGAGAUGUUGGGUUAAGUCCCGCAACGAGCGCAACCCUUUUCCUUAUUUGCCAGCACUUCGGGUGGGAACUUUAAGGAUACUGCCAGUGACAAACUGGAGGAAGGCGGGGACGACGUCAAGUCAUCAUGGCCCUUACGACCAGGGCUACACACGUGCUACAAUGGUCGGUACAAAGGGUUGCUACCUCGCGAGAGGAUGCUAAUCUCAAAAAGCCGAUCGUAGUCCGGAUUGGAGUCUGCAACUCGACUCCAUGAAGUCGGAAUCGCUAGUAAUCGCGGAUCAGAAUGCCGCGGUGAAUACGUUCCCGGGCCUUGUACACACCGCCCGUCACACCAUGGGAGUUUGUUGCACCAGAAGUAGGUAGUCUAACCGUAAGGAGGACGCUUACCACGGUGUGGCCAAUGACUGGGGUG